UACGAAGGGGGCUAGCGUUGCUCGGAAUUACUGGACGUAAAGCGCACGUAGGCGGCUUUCUAAGUCGGGGGUGAAAUCCUGGAGCUCAACUCCAGAACUGCCUUCGAUACUGGAGAGCUUGAGUCCGGGAGAGGUGAGUGGAACUGCGAGUGUAGAGGUGAAAUUCGUAGAUAUUCGCAAGAACACCAGUGGCGAAGGCGGCUCACUGGCCCGGUACUGACGCUGAGGUGCGAAAGCGUGGGGAGCAAACAGG
rnacentral:rRNA from 1 species